AUAUAAUUUGUGCCACUUAAAGUAGAUCAUAUUUCCCUUUAGGGAAGGAUUAAUUUGGGUUUCUGUAAACAUGAGAGUCAAAUUCAGCUGUGCUGUGUACAAAUUAAACAUUUAGGGUGUUAUUGUUGUUGUUAGUCUGGUAUUAAUUUCUUUAAGUGUUCAAAAAUCUGUCCUCUUGAUGAGGUUAAGGGUGCUUAAUUGGUUAGCUGCAACAUUGGAAUUGGUGAUGUGGGCUGCAAAGUGAAAAGGUUGCUUCUCAAAGAUAAUUGCUUCUCAAAGAUAAUUGUUUCAAUUCUGAAGGAUUGACCCAUCUGAAAGGAAGAGUGGGUGUAAUACAACGUUACAGUUGGUAACUGUAAACAAGAGGGAUGGUGCACAGCGUGAUUUUGGGGCUUUUAGAUAGAUGGCUUUUAGGUUGAUGGCCGUGCUGUGGUUCUGGCAAAACCAGAUGGCUUUUGCAAACUGUAGAUCAGCAAUUGUGGGUAUUUUUUGUUUCUGUUCUGAGAAAUGCCUGCUUUCUUUGGGUUGAGGGAGAUCUCUUAAGACCCUGUUUAUGACUCUUAUCAAGGAAAUGACAUAAGAAAGGACAAUAAAGCUUAAGAACAGAAACUUGUAAAAGAAAACUGAAAAGGGUUUCAGCAUAGAGUGAAGAACAACAUGACCUGAGGGAAGAGGUUUUUAUUAAUGUCAUGGUAAGGAGUUUGUAUUCCAAAUAGGUUUGUUCUGUACCAAAUAAUUUGGAAAGAAGAGGUUUUGGUUCAGAUAAUGAGCUCAACCACUGUGUGAGCUGAAACUAUGAUAUUUAAUCCAUUAAGAUGCAGCAUCACAUGGUGGAGAAAAGUGGAACUGUGACUGCUUUGAGGCUAUUUCUGCAUUUUCAGCACAGCUGCUCUGAAGCAGUAAAAGAUCAGGUACUAAUUUGCCAGUGGUGUGCUGGAGUCUGUUGUCCAGCUUGUCAAUGGCCCAGUGGCAACUGAAAUGAUUGUGGCAGGUUCUUCUGUAAGAUACUAAUUUUUUUUGCUACUUUUCUUCAGCAACUGUGUUACUUCACAUACAAAGUCAUUCUGACCCUUGCCUCUCUGCGCUGCUUAAAGGUGAAUGGCAAACCAGUGAAGAAAAUAACAAAAGCUCAUGUGCCAAUUGCCACCAAUAAUGUCUCUCCUGAAUGACUCUGAGACCUGAGGAAAGGAUACUAGUAUAUAAAUCCCAAUUCAAAGUCCUUUUUUUUCCCCCUUUGAGCUUGCAAUUCACCUUCCAUAUUCUUUUCUUCGCUUCAUUUGCUUCAAGAAUCUUCAGAUUUCUUGAGUUAAAGAAUGAUCAUCUCUUGCCAACCCUUCUCAGCCGUAUCUGCAAAUAAGAAAAGAACACAGACAGCAUGUUAAUCCUGUGUCCUGAUAACAUAAGAAAAUAGAGAUGCAUAUCCUGUAUGUUUCUUGAUGACCUGAGGGGAGCAUAGGACUGAAGCUUACCUUCAGAACCCACCUCUAUGCGUGGAAGUAGGGCAACCUCUUUCCCUGCCUAUGGGCAUCAUCAAUUAGUUUUACAUAUCUUACUCAAAAACAUCACUUCUCUUUGUGACUUCACUUUGCCUUCUGUCUGACACUGAACUUGUCUCAUCUUCAGCUUAUUUUAACUUGGACAAAUCCAUUUAGUAUGCAUGCAAGCAGCCCUAUCAAACUUAAUUGGAAGGACAGCAGCAAUCUCUUCUGAUGUUACCUAAUGCUGACAUCUUAGCAAUGCUAUAUAUAAACUGCCUUACAUUGCAACACUGUCUGCAUUUUGAGUGUGUAAGAUGACAUGUCUUAGUGGACCAUUUGUAACUCUACCUCUUAUAUUCAUCUCUAAAACUGUAAUUUUUGCUCACUUCCAAGAUAAACUUCUUAUUUGAAAAAGUCUGCCUUUGCUUCCAUAAGAAAACCCCAAAACUUGAUCUUCUGCAGCUUUGCUGGGAUUGAGUUCCUAUGUUGCUGUUUUAAAACUUACCAUAUCACGAGAAAGGUUUUCUUCCUCCUUUAAUCCGAAAUGGCAGCACUGCUUUCUAUCAUUUAGCCUUGAGACUUUUCCUCUCACUUUUCUAGUUGAUAAAAAUGAAAGAUUUCUUCAACGGAUGACUGCAACAAAGUUUUUUCUAUCUAUUAACUGUGUGCAACCUGGACGUAAACCUGUGCACAUGUUCUCUAACAAAAUGC